rnacentral:lncRNA from 1 species
ACAGUGAAGGGUUGGCCAAUCCAGAUAAACUGUACUAAGGGUCUGCAAAAGCAUGGGAAGGACAUCUGUACAAGAUUAUGAGUUUAUGGCUGCACUGAAAGAGGGCUAAUUACCCUAGUUACUAAGCAGGCUCUCAGGGACACACAGACACAAAUCAAACUGACAGCAAGCUGCAUCUGCAGCUGUGUACAAAUGGGUUUAACUCCCAGAGAGCUUAAAAGAGCUCUGUUCUGUUCCCCCUGAAAUCAACAUAAACUUGACUAUUAUCUUUUAGAGUAGCUGAUAUAAGAAAGCAAUAAUAAAACAGUGGAAAGUUGGAUGAAUGCCUGCUGCUUGUUGAAGCAUUAACUACAGAUUGAAAUUCAACAGCAGCAGAUGAGAAAGAGCAUGACUUGUUUAGAAAAGCAACCAACCUGGAUUAAAGAUUUUCUAGUGAGAAGGCAAUCAUAAUCCUUAAGAUAUUCACAUGAUUAAUUACAGGGACAAGAAGGCAAGUUAUGUUACAAUGAAGAUUAGCCAGACUAGAAGAACUAUGUAUUUCUGUUUCAACAAGAGGACAUAACAUUUCUGAGUUGACUCAGUGAUGUGAUAUGCUGGAGAGAACAACAAAUGAAAACAACCUAGGUAUUCAGAAAGGUAACUGAACAUAUACCUUUAAUGUAUUAGAACACAGAAAAUAGUAAGGUUCCUGGGA